UGGGGAAUCUUGCGCAAUGGGCGAAAGCCUGACGCAGCAACGCCGCGUGCGGGAAGAAGGCCUUCGGGUUGUAAACCGCUGUCAGGAGGGACGAAGCCACUCGGGUUAAUAGCCCAGAGGGUGACGGUACCUCCAGAGGAAGGUCCGGCUAACUACGUGCCAGCAGCCGCGGUAAUACGUAGGGACCAAGCGUUGUCCGGAAUUAUUGGGCGUAAAGCGCGUGUAGGCGGCUUGGCAAGUCCGGUGUGAAAUGUCGGGGCUCAACCCCGGAACUGCACUGGAAACUGCCUUGCUAGAGUCCGGAAGAGGAGACUGGAAUUCCUGGUGUAGCGGUGAAAUGCGCAGAUAUCAGGAAGAACACCCGUGGCGAAGGCGGGUCUCUGGGACGGUACUGACGCUGAGACGCGAAAGCGUGGGGAGCGAACA
rnacentral:rRNA from 1 species